rnacentral:rRNA from 1 species
UACGGGAGGCAGCAGUGGGGAAUAUUGCACAAUGGGCGCAAGCCUGAUGCAGCAACGCCGCGUGAGGGAAGACGGUCUUCGGAUUGUAAACCUUUGUCUUUGGUGAAGAAGAAAGUGACGGUAGCCAAGGAGGAAGCCACGGCUAACUACGUGCCAGCAGCCGCGGUAAUACGUAGGUGGCAAGCGUUGUCCGGAAUUACUGGGUGUAAAGGGAGCGCAGGCGGGACAGCAAGUUGGAUGUGAAAUACCGAGGCUUAACCACGGAGCUGCAUCCAAAACUGUUGUUCUUGAGUGAAGUAGAGGUAGGCGGAAUUCCGAGUGUAGCGGUGAAAUGCGUAGAUAUUCGGAGGAACACCAGUGGCGAAGGCGGCCUACUGGGCUUUAACUGACGCUGAGGCUCGAAAGUGUGGGGAGCAAACAGGAUUAGAUACCCUGGUAGUCCACACUGUAAACGAUGAUUGCUAGGUGUGGGGGGUCUGACCCCCUCCGUGCCGGAGUUAACGCAAUAAGCAAUCCACCUGGGGAGUACGGCCGCAAGGUUGCAACUCAAAGGAAUUGACGG